rnacentral:lncRNA from 1 species
UCCUAUUCUCCCCAAAGCCGCUCCAGCGCCUCCAUUCUCUCUGCUUGCUUCUCCUCCCACCUCCUUCCAUCUCAGCCCACUGGCCUGACUUCUUCUCUUUCCAUUGCUCAUUCUUUCUUUCUUUCUUCGACUAACCCAUUCCUCUCCUACUAUAGGUGACUACUCUCAGGACUUGUCUAUCUCUCGACAUCUUCCAACACACCUCGAUUCCUCCAUCAAAUGGCAUCGCCAUUUCUAGCCAUUCAGAUUCAAUCACUUCGUCAAGUCCAAAAGCUUCAACACUCAUCACCCUACAUGGACACAUCUCUGACCUUACCUAUUCUAUUCGAAUUUCAAACGGGUUUGCUCUGCAGUAAGCCCCUCUGACCCUCGUCGUUCCAUCCUUACCAGACCUAUCCUUAGACCUAUCCUUAUACCUAUCCUUCUCUCAUAUCCUAUCUUUACUCUGAGCGGCACCGGAUGACACUGGCGACGAACAAACGGCUACGAGGCAUUCGAGAACGACAGACUGGAGGCCGACAGGCCGAGCGAGCGAACGGACGAAACGAAACGAACAGCCACGAGGCAACCGAGACGAAUCGAUCCAUUAAAACCCCAAACGGCGAUGAACGGACGAUCGGAGUGGGAUGUCAACAUCCAGCAACCCCUAUAUCAAGCAGAUAUCUAACCCGGGGGGUGCCUGAUGCGGACAUCCCGCCGCUCCCAGAAUCAUUUAGGAUACACAACCGGGAGUGUUAGGUUUCUCUUAUACGAACAACGAACCGAACGAACGAGGCGGAUCGAUCGAACGGACG